CGGCUAUGGUGUGCUGUUUGAAAUUUUUUCAACAAACAGUCCCACUAUUUAGGAUAAAGAUGUAUUCUAAUAUACUUUUAUUAUCAUCAUGAUCUGAUUGAAAAUUGAAAUCAAUAUAUCCCACGAGUUUCAAGUCAGAUUCCUUAUAAACAAGCCACUAGUCCUUAGUAUUUCUCAAAUACUUAAGGAUUGUUUUUGUAACCUUUCAAUAGUUCUCACCC
rnacentral:lncRNA from 1 species